rnacentral:rRNA from 1 species
GCUCAAAUUUAAAAUCUGGCGGUCUACGGCUGUCCGAGUUGUAAUCUAGAGAAGUGCCUACCCGCGCCGACCGUGCAUAAGUCUCCUGGAACGGAGCGUCACAGAGGGUGAGAAUCCCGUCUUUGGCAUGGACUCCCGGGGCUUUGUGGUGCGCUUUCGAAGAGUCGAGUUGUUUGGGAAUGCAGCUCAAAAUGGGUGGUAAAUUCCAUCUAAAGCUAAAUAUUGGCGAGAGACCGAUAGCGAACAAGUACCGUGAGGGAAAGAUGAAAAGCACUUUGGAAAGAGAGUUAAACAGUACGUGAAAUUGUUGAAAGGGAAACGCUUGAAGUCAGUCACAUUGGCCGGGGAUCAACCUUGCAAUUUUGCGUGAGGUGUACUUCCCAGUCGAUGGGUCAGCAUCAGUUUUAACCGCUGGAGAAGGGUCAGGGGAAUGUGGCACCUUUGGGUGCGUUAUAGCCCCUGGUUACAUGUGGUGGUUGAGACUGAGGAACUCAGCGCGCCGAAAGGCCGGGCCUUUUGGCCACGUUCGCGCUUGGGAUGCUGGCAUAAUGGCUUUAAUCGACCCGUCUUGAAACACGGACCAAGGAGUCUAACAUGCCUUCGAGUGUUUUGGGUGGAAAAACCCAUACGCGCAAUGAAAGUGAAAGUUGAGACCUCUGUCGUGGAGGGCAUCGACCGCCCGGACCGGAGCUUCUGCGAUGGAAUCCCGCGGUGGAGCAUGCAUGCUGGGACCCCGAAAGAUGGUGAACUAUGCCUUGAAUAGGGGUGAAAGCCAGAGGAAAACUC